GCGGCGACCAAUAGGUGCCGCCGCCUCGGUUGAACACUGGAUACAACAGUGUGAGCUUCAAAGGAGCCUGUCCACCCAGAGAGAGGGAGAGAGAGGGAACCUUCACUCCGGCUGUGAUGCGUAACGGGGCUCUGCUGGUUGAACAACACUUCGAUGGGAUAAAACCUCCCGGUCAUAUUUAACCGCUUUAUCGUGCGCGUGUAUAUAUAUAUGUGUGUGCGUGUGUGUGUGUGUGCAUAUAUGUGUGUGUGUGAGAGAGAGAGUACCGGCCGCGAGGACUGAAGUCCAGGAAGAGCGCGACUCACAUCGACGCCUGAGUCUUUUUUUUUUCUUCUUGUCUUCAAUAAAACAUAUAAAAUAUAUAUCUAUAUAUUUGGAGCCAACUUGGAAACGUUUGGACGUUGAACAAGUUUUUUUUUUUUUUAAUUAUCAUUUUUAUUUACUUGAAUUAUAUUUGAGUCGUUUACCUGGAGCUCCAAAGCUCAGGACGGAGGAUGGAGACCGAAAAGUACUUACCGGAGCUUAUGGCAGAGAAGGACACGCUGGAUCCGUCUUUUCAGCACUCCAUGCGGCUACUGGAUCAAGAGAUCGAAAAGGUUCAGAAAGAUGAGGGGAAGGAAGAGGAGAAGUUCAUCGACGUCGUCAUCAACAAGAACAUGAAACUGGGCCAGAAAGUUUUAAUACCAGUCAAGCAGUUUCCUAAAUUUAACUUUGUCGGCAAACUCCUCGGGCCGCGCGGGAACUCGUUAAAGAGGCUACAGGAGGACACUCUCACAAAGAUGUCAAUUCUCGGAAAAGGAUCCAUGAGAGACAAAGAAAAGGAAGAAGAGCUACGGCAGAGUGGCGAGGCCAAAUAUCACCACCUGAACGAAGACCUGCACGUCCUCAUCGAGGUGUUCGCCCCACCGGCUGAGGCCUAUGCCAGGAUGGGUCACGCUCUGGAGGAGAUCAAGAAGUUUCUCAUACCAGAUUACAAUGAUGAGAUCAGACAGGCCCAGCUGCAGGAGCUCACAUACCUGAACGGCGGCUCGGAGGAUGCCAAGGUGCCAUCGGUGAGGGGCAAGUCAGCCGUCCGUGGAAGGGGGACACCUGUUCCAGGUCCUCCCAGGAGUCGAGGAGGAGUUCCCCCGCUGCAUGCAGCUGUGCCCCGAGGAGCAGCACCCAGAGGAGCCCCACCCAGCCGGGCUCCGACUUCCAGAGGGCGGGGUGUUCAGAGAGCCAGAGGUGCGCCUCCAACUGCAGGAUACCGGCCGGCUCCUCCCAUAGUUCAGGACACAUACGGCGAAUAUGAAUAUGACGAUGGCUACGGAACAGCUUAUGAUGACCAAGGAUAUGAAUCGUAUGACAACAACUACAGUAAUCAAGGACAAAACUCAGAUGACUACUACGAAUACGGACACAGUGGGGAAUCAUAUGAUUCGUAUGGUCUGGAAGAGUGGGCAAACAAUCGCGGCAAGGCACCGCCAGCACGAACAACCAAGGGAGUGUACAGAGAUCAGCCAUACACCAGAUAUUGAACUGUUUAUACAACCCACACCUGAGUCCUCAUGGCUGUUUCAACCCAAGUCGACGUCGCGGCUAUACCAGGGCAUCCGUCUAACUAUCUUAUUGGUGCUAAAGACUUCACAAAACACACACAAGCGUCCCUCCAAACAUUCAAGCCCAGAGCAAAUCCCGGAAAAAAAGGCCGUUCGACUUUCACAAAGGAUCUGCCCGUGGCCAAACGGCCGAUUGCCACAGCGUGGACUGAGGUGAAUCCUGUGGGGGACAAGAUGGAGUGACCUGUUGAGAUGCAGAGAAGUAAAAAAAAAAAGGAGUGAAAAGAUAAUCCGUGUAUCACACAUCGCCAUUCUUCGGAAAAAGGGAAUGGAGGGAAGGAAAACUGUGAGGCAAAUGGGGUUCCUCAUCCUCUGGGACGAUCUGUCGGAGUAUAUUUCCGCACAGCAUCGUUGCUCUGUAUACAUUUUACAUACACACAGGAGUGCUCUGAACUGACUGUGAACCUGUCCUGUGUCUUUCUUUAUUCACACUGUUGUCUACCACUUACAUUAGACAUUAACUGUCACCUACCAGGAAGGCUGAGCAAAUAAAUUAUGCAAUAUGCUAAGGGAAUGAAUUCAUAUUUCUUGCAAAGACACUUCUAGUCUCAUAUUGUUGUGCUGAUGAACCUAUAUACAAUCUACUCCAAUGAAUUAAUAAUUCACCAAGUGCCUUAAUGUUGCAUUGUUAUGACAGUUUUCGAUGUUUAGUCCCGUUGGCAGAGUUAACACAUGAGGCAGCACACUAGAAAAGGUAGCUAUUUUUUUUGUGUGUGUUUUCUGUACGCAUUACGGCAGUAUAGUAGAAACGUCACACACAAGAGUACAGUCUAUUCCAGAUGUAUUGCUUAAUCAGAAUCGACUUGAGUGGAUAUUACAAUUCCAAAAUAGCUUUCUAUCGGAUAGAGAGCUUCAUUCUGUCUUGUGCAUAAGUCCAGAUAGGCUGAUCCGUAUUCCACACAGUUGUAUGCCCUCAGUGGCAGACAAUAGUUUUCCAUUAGAGGAAGUGAUUCUCUCUGGAGCCUCGGGCCAAGCCUCACACAAUAACACAGCGACCUAAAGCUUGCAUCUCUGGCUCCCGGAGUCAACUCUCAUCACCUCCGGGGGCUGAUUCCUCCUCUGAGGUGGCUUAAAACGACAGGCUUAUCUGAAGUAAAGCUUGUCCAAGUUAAUAAAGUAAGAGCAGCUUAUUUGAUUAAGAAUGCAUACAAAGAAGGAUGUAGUGAUCUGUCACUUGGAAGACGAGUCCAUUUCAACACUAGAAUACAGAUGAAUGGGUCCCCGAAUGCUGGCUACAGGUAGCACUUGUGUGUGUUUUGAAAAAAGGAUUCAGAGGAUCUGGUGCAAAAGGCCACGGAAACAUAUUUUCUUGAUCUUACUAUGAAAAAUAAGGCCAACAAAAAAUUAGAGAUACCAUUUUUUUGUUUUACUGAUUUUAAGGGA